GUGAGAGUUUGUUGCUUAAUUUUAGCUGUAUUCAACCAAUUUUUUCAAACAUUGAUUCACUUAUCAACGCAAGAAAUGGCUGUGUCCCAAAUCACAUACUUUUUAGUUACUGUUUUGAGUAAUUAGCUAAUGACCGCAAAGGAUGUUCUUUGACCCUAUCCCAAAUGCCGCAUUUCAUGUGCACUUAUCCGGUGCAUUCCAAACAGCAUAUAUCACCCUUCGAAGGGCACUUCAGAGUGAAGACAACCAUGGCCACCAUAUUGAAGAGUUGUUCCAAACCGAAUUGCUUAAAACUGGCCACUUAAAGGGCCAUUCGGAAUGAAGGGCUUCAAUUGGUAAAAUUUAUGGUACCCAUGAUCCUUUGCACCCUUUGACGGGAUUAGGGCAUGGGGAAGAGCCCUUCUUAAAGGAACGCAGUGAUGGUCUUGCGGACUUGCAAUGGCCUCUGUGUGUGUAUGUCCAUUAAGUCCUUGAGAUCGUAGGGUCCAUAGCUUUCAAGAGGGUGCUUGUGUUCCUCCUUUGCAGCCGCUAUGCAUGGCAAAGUCUGUAGCAGACUUGUAGCCGAAAGUCAAAGCAUCUGUACAUAGCGAAAGUGUGGACUGUUGUGUUGCAUCACUGCCAUUCAUUAAGCCUCUCCGUGGCCUAAUGGGAUAGUAAAGUUUCCAUCAAAUGCAUACAUCAGAAUCUCACUGGAAGUAAUAGGUUACUUCCAGGUACUUUUUCCCUAGUGUUUUAUUAUACUGUGCAUCUAGACAUUCUUCUUCGGUCACAUUCUGAUUUUCUCAUAGGAUAUGGUAGGGAAGCAUGCUAUUUCAAUACAGCCAAAGACUGACUAGAGUUGAAUCAUUUAACUGACUCGUUCAAAAACAAGUUCCUUUGUGACAGAGUCAUUGAAUUAUUCACUGAAUUGUUAAAAAAAAAAAUGAAACACCACUUUGCUGCUAUUAGAAAUAUUGCAUAAACGGAUUGCAGCAUUGUAUCUAAAAUAUAAGUCACACAGUGUGUGAAAUACCCAUCUGUCAUUAAUGUUAACCAACAAAAGACGUUAAAUAAAUGUAUACAUGUUAAGUUAAACCUACAGUAUCUGAAAACUGAGUUUAAUUUGUAUCUCUAUUGUAUUUGUUUUAUUGUGCUUCUUUAAUAUAUAUAAGUUGCUCCUUUUUCACUUCUGUUAAAUUGAUAGUUCACCCAAAAAUGAAAAUUGUCAUCAUUUAUUCAAGAUUUUCCUAAAUGUAUUCCUUGAUUCAAAUUUCUCAUAAGCUUAAUUGAUUUGGUCUAAAGAGAGAAUUAAUGAUUAUUUUAAUUUGAAAACUACAUAUAAAUUAGCUAUUACUGUGUUAAUGACUUGGCAUCAUUCCAGGGAGGCAUAAGUGCAAGUGUUUUUUUGUUACAACUUGAUGAACCACUGAAACGAUUUCGGAAACAUUAUUUUAAGGUAAAAAUUUUUACAUAGUGUUGCUUUAAGGACAUUUUUAUGGUGGCUUUUAAUUUUGCAUCAAAUAGUGAACUGCAUACUGUAUGCAGACUUUCAUUUACAAAUCACCAGCAAUAAAUAUUGUGCUAGCAGAGGGGGCCCAAUUAGAUUUUUCUGUCAUGGGGCCCAAUAUUCCUGGCAGCGCCCCUGGAAAAAAACGUUUUUCAUUGAACUAUUAAGAAAAGAAAUAUCAGACAGUCAUGUUGCCUUAUUGUAUAUAUUCAGCUUCACAGAAACAGUCUGAGGCAUCUAGUUCUAAAGUGACGUUCUAGUAUUAAUAACAAAGGAACAACGUCUCAACUCACCAAAAAAAAAAAAAAAAAUGCGUGGGAAUGCAGCGUUUUGUUGUUGUUCCUUUAUUUUAUUUAUUUGUUUAUCAUUGUCUUUAUGGUUCACAUUUUUACAGCCCCUGGUAGUGUUUGAUGUUUGGAAAAAUAAUGUUAAGAAGCAGUGCAUUCAGGUGUUUAAAGACUUUCUUCAUAACUGGCAAACCAUAGCAGGUUUGGUUUCAGUUCAUUGUACUUAAAUAUUUAGUUAAUCCACUACUCUCUUUGUUCUCUGUCUCGUCGAGUAUCACAUUACUGUUUUACGAAAUAUCUGAUACCGCACACAAUAUGUGGUUUGUUUAGUCAGAAACACGUAUAAGCUGAUCCCUCACCAAAGUUCUUCUUAUUUUAUUUUAGUUUAGUUUUUAUAUAUUUAUUUAUUUUUAACUCUCCUGGUGAGAGCAAUAAAAAUCUUUGUAUGGUUUUGUCAGGUGGAGUUACAAAUGGUGCUGCAAGUACAACUAAAAUCUGGUUUUCUGCACAUAUACAAGAGAGAAACACUAAAAUUAUGAGCAAUAGUAGGUUGACCAUGCAUCCUCUUCUUUCCUGGACAUCUCCUGGCCAGGAGUAGGUGGAUUAAUAGCAUACAGGUAUUAUACUGCUCAUGCUAAUAUGCAUACAGAUGUUAAAUGAAGACUAGAAAGCAUGACAAUAGGAGAAAAGAGCCAAAACUUAGACAUUUUAUGCAAGGACAGGACAUGUCUUGGAAAAAGAGGAUGUAUAGUCACAGUAAUAAUAUGUAUAGGUUGGUGCAAUGUUUCAGUUGAAGUUUCAUGGCCAGUGAGAAAUAUCUAUGGACAAAUGUGUGAUAGAAUAGGUGUGACCAAAAAAAUGAAUUUCAGACCUUGGGUGGUGUUAAUGUAUGCCGUAUAGACCAAAUAAAUCAUAGUGUAUUCUUUCAUAAAGAUUCAUAACAGAUGCUCUGAAUCUGACAUCCACUCAAUAUUUAGCAGUUAUUCGGUCCCACACAUUGCGAUCUGACAAGAUCAGCUUUAUCAGAUUUAACGUGUUUUCUCUUGAGUGUUGUUGUUUAGAUCGGGGUAAAUAAGCAAUAUCUGUUUUCUCAUUCAGAUAAGAUUGUGGUAUGCACUGUGAACAUGUUGAGACUCAUUUAUGCUGUUAAACUUAAACCCUCAUGAAUAGUUCAGGGUAUAAAAGAGGGUGAAGAGCGAUGGGAAGGGGAGAUCAUCAUUACACAAGGGGAUAAAAGGAGGGCAGAAACCAAACCUUUUCGAUAAGCCACAGCAACGCCAGCGUGAAGAUGUCCAAACCAAUCUGUCUGCUGUUUGCCCUGGUGAUUCUGACCACAAUUCUGUGCAACAACUCAGUCUGUUCACAAAGGAGAAAAGAUGCUGUUUGUGGCUGCAAAGUUCAUCCUUCGAAGGGGCUACAGUGUAGAAACCACAGAGUGAAAGACUACAAGAAAAUUGUUAGGUGUAUUUGCAGUAACCCUGAAACAUAUUAUAACGAAGGCAACAAGGAACAGUUUGAACAGAUUUGCAGCUCAAAAUAUAAAUCUAUUUCUAUUCCUUUGUGAUCUGAUGAAAUUGUGCUGCUUUAUAUAGAGCUCCAGUAUGAUAAUCACAUAUAUACCAGACUCAAUCUUUAAAGUCUAGGAUCAGUUUACUUUAACGUAAUCCUGAAAAUGCUCUGAUUUUAACUGUUAUAAAUGUGAUAUUUUGCUUGCAUCUUAAAGCAACACGAUAAAAGUAUGUAAAACAUAAACUGUGUUUUUCUGUCAUUGUGUGUUGUUGUUUGAUUUGAGUUAAACACACAAGAAGUCCUGUCUCAUUCAGGUAAAACAUGUUAUACACUGUGAACAUGUUGAGACUCAUAAACAUGUUUGUGCCAUUAAUGAACAGUUCAGAGUAUAAAAAUGGAUAAAGUGGGAACUGUGCUGCUUUAAAUAAAGCUUCAACAUGAUUUAUCUCAUAUCGAUAGCCAACGUGCAUGAUGAAUUUACUGUAAUAUAAUCACGAUAAUGCUCUGUUACAAAUGUGAUUGGUUGAUUGUAUCUUUUACAGCAAAACAAUAAAAGUAUGUAAAACAUAAA